UUAAAAAUAAUCUUAAAGUCCUAGGCUGCAAUUACUUGUCACUGAGGUUCAUCAAGUGAAUUAAACAAAACAAAACAAUGUCAAUUAACACAAUCCCAUUAGACUGGAUUUUUUCGUUUUAUGUGCAGUGAAGAAGGGUGAUAGGUGAUUGGAGUUGGCAAUCUGAACUUUUUCCAGUUACUCUUUUGUACAUGUGUUUAAGCACAAGAUUGUAUGGUGGAUGUCUGAGUUUAUCUGUGAAUUCACAACCACAACCAUAACACUUUUUCACAUUGGACUGGUGACAGCAAUCUCAUAUGGAUGUGGUGAUCAUCCAGAAUGCCACUGCAGGUAUUGUUGCUGAUUCCAUGCUCCCAGGGCAGGCGGAAUAGUGAAAGAAGUAGGCCAAGGAUGGCUCUGGUUAGAGUAGGAGUGGAGAUUGGUGCUGUGGGUGUGAUGGAGGAGGCUGUCUGAUGAAUUAUGAGGGAGAGGAUGCUGCAAUGAUAUUGUAGGUUGUGGGAAAGGUAUGUUCAGUGGAUUAGUACCACCGAUUUGGUCAUCUUUAGGGUGGUUAAUAUUUGGGAUGGUCGAAGGUGGAAUUGGCUGACCUUGCACUUGGGCGAGUCUCGG